GUUUCACGUUGGCGCAACGGUAGCGCGUCUGACUCCAGAUCAGAAGGUUGCGUGUUCGAAUCACGUCCGGAUCA
rnacentral:tRNA from 1 species